CAAACCAAUCAAUAUAUUAGUUUAGUAGUUUCACAGUUCAAUUAGGCUGGUUGACCCAAAUUUUAUUACCAUGAUAUAAACCAUAUCAUUAAUCAAAUAUUUUUACCAACAGUAAUGACUAAUCUCUCUUCAAAUAUCAAUAACAAAAAAUUGAUUGAUCUAAUUAGGUUUGUUUUGUACGUUAAAUUAUACCUUUCUUAAUUUUAGUUAUAAUUUCUAAUUAUCAUUUUUAGUAGAAUUAUAUAAUUUGAUUCAACUCGAUCUAAAUUAAUCUUAAAAAUUAGUUGACAUGAAGAAAGACAUCCAAUAAAGGAAUAUUAUGAGUCUUAUAUAUGGGACCAAACAAAUGAAAAAUAAUGCUAACAAAAUUGAUUGGAACUAGCAAGUAGGAUUUGAGAUUGAGAGGGUCUAAGUGGGGAUGGGCUAGCUACUUCUUAGUUCUUAUAUGGCGGGAAGGCUUAGUAGAGUAAGGAACAGAACAUAUAUUGCCACUUUGGCUCCUCAUUUUACCGUUCUCAAACUUUGAUUUGGUUGGUUUGAAUUCACAAGUUGUCCAUCAAUGCCGAUACUUGAAAUUGAAGUGCCUUAAAGAUGUUUGGUGAAAUGUCUGACCCAAGAGAUGUGAUAUAUCAUUACAGUCUUUUACUGCAUAUAUACGAGGUCCAAUAACACAGUAUCUGCAAGGAAGAAGACCUUCAUUGUCACUGAUUUGAUUGAAGGCAAAAAGAAGAGCUCAAGGGAGCAUGAAGAUGAAAAUGUCAACAAGUGCAACUCCAAGAGGUGCCAUUUUAGCCAUUCCUUUUCAAGCGCCAUGAAGAACACCACCAUCUCAGACGACAAGAGACUCGUCCCUACUGGUUCAAAUCCAUUACACAACAGGUAGAAUAAUAGACAAAGACCCAUCUUCCUUGUCGCGUAAUGACUAGGAUCCUUUUUUAGUGCUCUAAAGAUUAUGUGUGUCCAGUAUCAGUUGACUUCUUUAGAGAUUUUUUGCUUGACUUCAUUACUCAUGCUUCAAACAUGAAAAAUAUUUUAUCGUCAUUUAAGAUUGCAUGAUAUAAUUUAUGUUCAGGGUGACAGAAUUAGAACAAACUGGUGCAAAAAAUCUACAAAGAAGUCAAUUGGUUCUGAGUCAUAUUCACUAUAUAUUCAAAGACCAAAAGGGAAUUUUAGUCGACCACAGUGGACAGUACAGUAUGAUCUUCAUCUUUGUUUCAGGAAGUUGUAUUACUUUGCUGUUAAAUAUCAAUGUAAAUUUUGGAAGAAACUAGCGUAUAUUACAUUCUUCUUCUAGAGUUGAAUAUUUUUUCCUCCA